rnacentral:tRNA from 1 species
GGUGAGGUGUCCGAGUGGCUGAAGAAGCACGCCUGGAAAGUGUGUAUACGGCAACGUAUCGGGGGUUCGAAUCCCCCCCUCACCGCCA